AUCAGCAUGCCGCGGUGAAUACGUUCCCGGGCCUUGUACACACCGCCCGUCACACCAUGGAAGUCGGUAAUGCCCGAAGUCAGUAGCCUAACCGCAAGGGGGGUGCUGCCGAAGGUGGGAUUGAUGACUGGGGUGAAGUCGUAACAAGGUAGC
rnacentral:rRNA from 1 species